GUCGCUGGUUUCUCGAUGGACGAAGUAAUGACAGCCGCAGGUGCAUCGGCAAGGUUUCGAUCGGCGUCAUCUCCGACGUCCAUUGUCCCUUCCAACGUCCCUCUCCUCUCAGCUGUCCUUGCCUUUGCUCUCGCUCGGUUCCUCAAUCUCUUCACCACCUGUGUCAGUCUUUUUGUUCGUGUGCAUUUUCUCGCUUUCAAUAUAUUCUCUUAGACAUGCUGGCUCAAGGAGAAGAGAUAGGAUACUAGAAGGAUGUCAGACAUUAGAUGGGAUACUAAUGUUCUUAUUCCUCUGCCCUGGUCCAUGAUAACAUUAGAAGUUCUGCAGUUCUACGAACUUCUAAGUAACCUCUUAUGACUACAGUUAAUCAAAUUGUGUGUGAGCUACCUCCUGAGCAUCCUGUCUUCAAUGUCUGACCCCUAUGAGAUUCACUUGGUCACACACCCCUUCAGCUAUGAGGCUUUCAACAAUAUACAUUGUGCUAUGAAGCGUGGGAUCUAUCUGCUAGUUUGAAAUGAUGUUCAUUAAAAAGAGGGGUGGGCUUUAUAUUAUUGAUGUUGUACGGUGAACAGAUGAUAUAAUUGUUUCAAACAUAAGAACAAAUGGUUAUGGUCAUCUGGUAUAACUUGCUACAUAGUGAAUCUUGUUUGAUCUAAAAGGAGUUUGAUGUUGUUUCUUUGUUUACCUACCUUGUUCCUUUGAUUUCGGGUUUAGGUUCUUUCCAGGUCCAUAUUAGGAUGUAUUGUAGCAUUCCUCAUGAGAACUUCAAGUUAGGAUUCGACAUGGAAAAUUGCAGUUACUGAUAAUUAUGUCGCGAGUGCUCAUACUUAUGCCAAGAAGAAUCGGACAGGACGAUUUCGUGACGUUCAACCAGUGUGGAAGUUCUAGUGUUGUAAUUGCUUGGGAUUUUUGCCUUGUAGCUUAAGCAAUUGUAAAUUAUACUACCAUACUUAUUAGUUUCCCCUAUCCUCUCAAGUCUAAUGCCAUGACAAUGACAUUGGAAAUUUCUUGCCUACUUAAAUUUUUGUAGCAUAUAAUGCAAAUUGAAAAGACAGAAAAAAGGUUAA